UACGAAGGGGGCUAGCGUUGCUCGGAUUGACUGGGCGUAAAGGGCGCGUAGGCGGAUAGUACAGUCAGGCGUGAAAUUCCUGGGCUCAACCUGGGGGCUGCGUUUGAUACGUGUUGUCUGGAGUUCGGAAGAGGGUCGUGGAAUUCCCAGUGUAGAGGUGAAAUUCGUAGAUAUUGGGAAGAACACCGGUGGCGAAGGCGGCGACCUGGUCCGAUACUGACGCUGAGGCGCGAAAGCGUGGGGAGCGAACAGG
rnacentral:rRNA from 1 species